GGCGGGUUGUAGGGGGGUGUACCCUCCAGGGCUGAACUGUUCUAGAAGCCACCUCUAACCUUCUCAAAGGAGCCUACGGGAGCCGGAAAGAUGGACAUGAAAAAGCACCGCCUGGGUAAAGCGUGUGCGCUGCAGGUGGGACGGCGAGGGCUGCUGGGCCCGCCGCGUUUCUCUCCUAUUGUAAGCUCCCUGAGGAAAAGGACUUUUGGCUCCUUGUAAAGCCACAUAUCUGGCACAUGUGGUAGAGUGGCUCUUAUGAAGCAGG
ensembl:lncRNA